rnacentral:rRNA from 1 species
UACGUAGGGCGCAAGCGUUAUCCGGAAUCAUUGGGCGUAAAGAGCGUGUAGGCGGCCAGAAAAGUCCGCUGUGAAAACUCGAGGCUCAACUUCGAGCUGUCGGUGGAAACUUUCUGGCUAGAGUCCGGAAGAGGAGAAUGGAAUUCCUGGUGUAGCGGUGAAAUGCGCAGAUAUCAGGAAGAACACCCGUGGCGAAGGCGGUUCUCUGGGACGGUACUGACGCUGAGACGCGAAAGCGUGGGGAGCGAACAGG